UUGUUGUGUCUGGAUACGAGCAUUUGCAUCCAAGCUGGGAUCUCCUGGUAGUUUCUUCAAUCGUGGUAGCAUUUGCAUGCCUCUGCAUCACAAAGGCACUAGAUAGUAAUGUUGAUGUGAUUUGCAUCUUGCUAAAACUAUUGUCUCUGGGAUUGCGUCUGCUAACAUUGAUUGCUGGUGAUGGAGUCGUGAUAUUAGUACUCCUAGGAUUAGCAUUACAGCAAUGUUGGCACUAUCUCCACUUCCCUCUAAAGAAUCUGCCACUCCUAGGAGUAUUGUUCAGACUUGAGAGUAGGCAGGCUUUGGUAAACAUAAUUUGUUAGUUUCUAAUUUUUCUUUAAUGGGCUCAAAACACAGGAUUUUUUGCUUCAUUUGCAUCUCUCGGUUAUCUUAAGGGUCCCAUUUGAAUGUUUUAUUAAUCCCAUGAUAUGAUUCAGUUUUGGCGCAUUUCAUUUAGAGUGGUUCUGAUAAUUAGAAUGCUAGACCGUAUUGGUUUGUAAGCUGUAAUGAUAUUCUGAUUAUCUGUUGCCAAUUUAUUUUCAACAGAACAAAAAGCUCAAGGAUGUGGAGAUUAGUUUUCUCAUCGUUUAUGGAACCAUUUCUUUUUUGGCUUUGUAAAAAAUCAAUAGAGUAAGCAUUUAUUUGAAUCUGUGGCAUAUUAUCUGUCGGUGAGUAAACACGAUAUGGUUGAUGUGCGCGUGGCAACCGCCGCCGCCGCUGCAUCUUCCCCCGACCCCGCCGCUGCCUCGCGGCCCUGAUGGAUGAUCGCCAUCCACCACUGCUCCGUCCUCUGCAGCGAGUAGGGAAGCCCCAUCGGUUGCCGUCGUCGACCUGGAAGCAGCAACAGUACAGGUUCGUCCUCAACAGCAGUACAGGCGAGACCCCGCAGAAGAACACAUACCCAUACCAGGCAGUACAUAUGUUUGCUGCGAUAAGUACAAGACAGAAGUAAAGUAUUUAAUCACCAGGGUUUGUGAGAUGAGCAGCUUAUCAUGUGGGUAAAAAAAUCAUCAUCUGGAAGCACCAGUAGUCACGUUCGGUCAGUAUACAAUGAUGUGGGCUGAUGUACAGAGGGACACGUGGGUGCCAAGAAGCUCCAGAAAUGAUGCAAGAAGAGAUCAAGCUCACAAAGCAUACACUACAGCACCAAAAAGAAUAGAUGCCAGAAUAGAUGCACCGCUCAGGAAGAAGACGUUUGGUGCGCAGUUAUGUUCUUUUGUAUCUGUAUGACAAACAGCUAUACACGA